CCGACGCCCUCCUCUUCUCCAAGCCUCCAGUCUCCAACGCUGCCCACUCGGUGUCGCCGUUUGCCCAGUCCGCCGUUGCCGUCUCCUACUCCUCCACUCCCAGACGGCGAAGCUCCAGUCGGCUCUCCAGGAAGGUCGCCAUCGCCGUCUCUCACUCUAGGGCUCCAGGUCGCCGUUUCGCCCUCUCGCGGUCACCGUCUCUCACGUCAUUACAGGUCGCCGCCUCUAGCCGUUGCCUCUGCUCGAAGUCCAAUCCACGUCGCCGUCGCCGUCUCCCAGUCCGACACUCCAAGACUCCAGGUCGCCGUCGCCGUCUCUCACUCCAGGACUCCAGUUGCAUCGAGAAGUGCGGUAUUGGAGGCAUCUUAGAACUUCCUCCCAGGAUCAGUAGUCUCUUCCAUUCUCUUUAUUUAUUUAUUCUGUUUGUUCUGGUGAGAGAAAAUUCAUAAAUUGUUGAAUUCAUUAUUUGCAGCCCAAAGUUAGCUGCCUGCAGCGGAUCUAUCUUGCCCUUGUCCCAAAUUGGCUCUUGGUAUUGGAGCUGUUUGCCAUCUUCUUGCAUCAACAUUAGCCUGUUGGUCUGUUUAUGGGUGGACUCCUGGCCUUUUCCAUUUCCUCCUUGACAGUCUUAAUGCAACUUCAGUUGUAGCACUUGGUCCAAAGGAAUCAGUGUGUUGGAACUUAUCUAAUUUUGGCAUGGUGUAUGUAUGGGAUCUUACAAUUCUUACUAUUCUAUGCACAUUUUGUUAUUAUCUAAGCUGUGUAUAAUGCAUAACUAGUCUCUUUGUUUUGUUAUUAGGCAUCCGUUAACUUGGGACCAAAUUUGUAAUUUUGAUAUAGUCAAGGGACCAUUUUGAUUUUCA